AGCGGCUUGGUGUAGUGGAAGCACGCUGGGCUCAUAUUACUUGUUGAUGGAACCCAGCGGUCCUCGGAUCGAGACCGAGAGCCGCUA